UACGGGGGGGGCAAGCGUUGUUCGGAAUUACUGGGCGUAAAGGGCUCGUAGGCGGCCAACUAAGUCGGACGUGAAAUCCCCAGGCUCAACCUGGGAACUGCGUCCGAUACUGGAUGGCUUGAGUUUGGGAGAGGGAUGCGGAAUUCCAGGUGUAGCGGUGAAAUGCGUAGAUAUCUGGAGGAACACCGGUGGCGAAGGCGGCAUCCUGGACCAACACUGACGCUGAGGAGCGAAAGCCAGGGGAGCAAACGGG
rnacentral:rRNA from 1 species